CGGCCGGGGCCCUCCCUCCCCUCCUUCCCUCCCUCCGCUCGGCCCCCUCAGCCGCCUCCGAGGCGCUCCGAGCGGCCGCCGCCUCGGGCUGAGGGCUCGGGCCCGGGCUCCGCCAGCGGACGCGGCUCCCGCUCGGACUCCGGCUCAGCGCUCCCCUCCGCCGCCGCCGCAGCGCUACGUGGCCGCCCGCAGCCAGUCUCGCGACUCCGCCGCGCGCACGCGCGGGCACGCGCCGAGGAGCUCAGGCGGCGGAGGGGACGCGGAGCGCAGGUGAGCGCACGUUGGGGGGUAGCUGUGCGCAUGCGCGGCUGCUCGGCGGGGCUCAGUCAGCUGAGCUGGGCAAGCUGCGGCUUCGCUCCGGCCCACGCCUCCUUCCCGCGGGCACCUCCGUGGUUCUGGUGAGGACCGUGUGGAAGGGAGGGAUGGAGGCAACGCUUCGCGGAGCGGCUGGAAGGGGCCGUGCGGGUCUCGCAGGGCCGCCCCUCAGGAGCCAGGGCCUGUGUGAUGUACGAGAGAGACAUGUGACAAGAAGUGGGUUUUGCUGACUGAACUCACUGCUUGGGGCAGAUGAAUGAAUAAGAAAGGAGUGGGUCAGAGAGAGAUGCUAUUUCAAAUGUGGAAUUUUAUCAGAGGGCCAACUGUGGGCACUGGAAAACAGUGGACACUCAGCUCCUAAGGAGUGCAGAUUGAGGAGUGAAACCACCAUUUCCAUUUCUGUACAAAGGCAUAGCCACUGCUCAUGUCUGAUCAUGGGACAAGAGCAGGCAGGUGCUUUGGUAAGUUUUUUCUCCAGUGUGUGGGGAGAGCAUUUUUCUCAUUUAGUCUCCCAAUUUGUUUUGCUGUUUCCCCCCUUCCCUGAUGCUGUGUCUGUGGUAGCCUGGCUUCCUUACCCUGAACCUGUAGCAUGAGAUCCCCUUACCUUAAAGUAGCUACUGGAGGAUUGCAGAGGCCUUUCCUGUAGAAGAUGCUUUGUGUCUUCAGUGUCAGACAGUGACUUUGCUCCCCUCAAGUACAAGUUGUACAGAACUUAAAAGGAAAUGUUAAGUCCCUCUUUCUCAGCAGACUCCCAGGACUCUGCCAGAGGGAGGACUUAAAAAGAUAGGGGACCAAGUGCAAGUAUUCUUGGACUGUCAGACUUCCAACAUGAUAACAAAGCACUCGUCCUUGUCUCUCUGCUUUGUCACUUCUGUGUCUGUGCUGGGGAAGAGGCUGCUGCAGAGGAGACUGACUCUUCUAAGCCUUGCUGUGUGAUUUGGCUCCUGAAUGCCCAGGGCACCCUGCAGUUGCACACUUUCUUCCCUGGCUGUUUUAUUAAUGGAAGUUGACAUCCUCAUGCUGGCUCCCAGGGAGGGAUCCAUCUGAGUCAUUGGCUGCAGCACAGCCCUUUUCCCACAAAGGGCUCCCUUCAGCUAUUUACAUCCCUCUCUUUGAUCUAGCUUUUGACAUGAAAAGACAUGUCAGCCAGGUAAAGGGAAACAAACAAAAUGCAGGAACAGUCCCACAUCUCUGCUUGCACAUGAUCCGCUCCCUAGCACACGCCUGCCUUACAGCCACAGAUCCUUAUCGGCCCUAUGAUUUCCUUGCUAUCAUCUCUGUCUUCCCUUCAUGCUAUUGUUUAACUUCUAGAGGCAAAUAUGAGCAUCUUGUUCACUGCUCAGUAAGAUGCUGGUGGCACAUUUUCCUACUCUCUCUGGCAUUUCCCUUCUAUCUAUAGUAUAACUAGUAUGGGAAAUGCCCUCACACAUCCUCCUCACUGCAUGCAGUGCCAGGAACAGGUGAUACAGAUCUUCAUUUCCUGCCUUAAACUGCUGCAGUGUUUCAGCAAAGCAACUGUUUGCAGCUCACUCCAGAAGCAGCAGCAAUACAACUGAAGGUGAAUUCCUUUGUGGAAAUCAGAUCUUUCAUUGCUAAGCAGCUUAGGAUCUUUCAGAUCUAAAUAAUAAUAAUAAUAAAUAUUAUGCAAACUCACAGCCCUUUAGACACACUAGAACACAGUAUUGCCCACUUGUGUUUUUUCUAUAGGAAUGGAUGUUCCAGAAUUGCUGAGAAUGCAAAUCUAAUGAAUAAGAGUCUUGUUGAGAUGCAGAUAGCUCUUUGGAGAUGACUGCUAGUACCACUGCAGAAUAGUGUGGGAAGGGGGAAAACUGAACAGAGGUUAGUUCCUAUCUUUAUCAACAGUCAAUUUUCUUGUGGCAUGGGCCAGUUUGUUGGGUUUGUACAGUUUGGUGCAACUGGGCAAUCUCUGAGUUGACUGGUCUGGCUAUCUUGUCUUUCAGGUAGUAAACCAGCGCUGGAGUGCUCUGGUAAGGGAGAUGUCUGCCUGGUCCAGGGCCUGCAGUCCCAUUUAAGCUGUGCUGCUGUGAGAUGUGGCUCCAUUGAUGAAGGUUCUCUUCUUUACCCAAGCAAUGAUAGUUCUCUGCUUCACCUGGACUUGUGCUAUGAUGAUUUUUUGGGAAACUCUCAGGAGCCCCUGUAGCAUUCUUUCUUCCUACAGCCAGCAGGGAGGUGGGCUGCCUUCCUUUCUGUCCCACUCACUGUUCCCACAGGUGAAUCUUCAUGGCUUGUGCUGGUGACAGGGCAUAGCAGGGUGCUGUUUGGCUGAAGCCUCCACAUCAUAAGAUUUCUUCUUUGGGAACAGGCUGAAUUCAGCAUUGAGGGCCUUGUGAGAAUGGAGUUGCAAGUGGGACUCUUUCUCCUUCCCCAAAGGGGAAACACCCUUGGGGUUAGAUGUUGCUCAAGGAUGCUGCAGUCAACAGACCCUGAGUGAGAAGCAAAACUUGGGCAUGGACAGGGGCACUGACACCUUGCUGUAACCUAACCAGUUGCUUUUUGGACUAACACUUGAAAUUUUAGGUAUCGUGCUAUGUCUUGCAGGAUUCAGGAUCCUCUCAAGUAAUGGGAAAGGAAGCAAAAGGAAAACAAAGGGCUUUUCCUGCCAGCUCUUGUCACAGGAAGCCCUAUGUGCUGAGGGAACCACCCCCUUGAGCGUUGGGCUUUGAGACUGUGUCAGCACAGAGUAGAAGAUCAAACAGAGGAAAUUCCUGUUCCCACUCUCCCUUCUCCUUUACUAGCUCAGUGUAAGGCCGCAAUUAAAGAUUAUCUACCUCCAAAUAAUAGUGCAGAGUUAACACCCACCAGCAUCUCUCUUCAUGCCCUUGAUUAAACCUUGAGAGCAGCAGGAUGUAGGCAGAGUGGCCAUACAGAGAUUGAGUAAACUCCUGACUCCACACAGGACUACCUGAAAAUUAAACCAUAUGUCUAA